UAAACAGCAGCUGAUGAGAACAGGAAGUUCAGGUGACAUGUCACAUUUUCUGAAGACCACAGCAGUGAGCAGCAGUCAGAGAAGGGCUGCCUUACCUACUCGUCCCAGACCACAUUGUGGAGGCACCGGUUCCUGGACGGGGAUCUGAGGCUCAGUCAGAUUCUUGUGUCUGCUGCUGUGGUCUGUUGUCCCUGUCCUGUCCACAGCAAAUGAUUUUGUCAAAUGACAUUAAAUUUUAAAGUGACGUUCAAAGAACAAGUCCAGAGGUGAGAGACGAGGAGCCUCAUCACGAAGCCUGUUGUUCUGAGUGUAGUUUUUCUAUUAUUUAAUCUUUCUUUUUUAAGCAGGAAGUCUCACUCUUUUCUCUUUUUUGAGACAGACCUUAUCCAGUUUAAACAAAGACAAAUCAUAUGUGAACUCAAAUGAAGACAUUCAGAUGAAUGCAGAUAAACCCACAAAGGGAGGCUUGAUACACUGCUGACAGUGUAUUUAAUAUGAGAUGUGUCACACUGAUUUUCCAGAGAAAAAGUAGUUCCAAUAUGACCUCCCUCCUCCAUAUCCGCCACACGUCAGGCCACAGCUGGAGUCCAGUUGAAUGAAUCUCAAAUCACGGUCAGAGCAGACCAGGCUUAGUAGUUUCACUCACCUGUAGCUCCAGAGCAGCAGCAUGAAACCGGCGUUGGUCACGACAAGAGCGACAUACAUGAAAUGUCUGAACUGACUGUUGUAGGACACCAGGAUCAUAUUGCUUCAGUUUUGCUGCUUUGGGCUCACACGGGUCUCACCGAUCCAGGAGGAGACACCUGGACGAGCAGAAGGAAGCUCCACGUUUUCGACGGCGCAGAGGAGCAAACCCACGACCUUCGAGCCGCUGAGCCGCCGUGCUGCCCAAACUAAAAGCUUAUGACGCGUCACGCAGCCUGGGAGGAAACUCUGCCUGGCAGACAAACUGAGGGGAGCAAAGUGAGAGAGUGACAGAGAGAGGCUCACAGUUCAUGCCAAGACUGGGUGGGUGAUGUCAGAACUAUGUGCCCCCCCCCAACUGGCCGGAAGAACAUCAGCUGAAAAAGUCUGCAAACUGGGGAUACAACACGAGGUACCCUCAGAGGACGAGGACGAGCCGCCACAGAACAGGGACAGUAAAAGAUCCUUAUUGCCAUCUCAGUCUCACAGAACCACACACUCGGGCGUGAUGACGCCGUUGAAACAUUUUUCCUAGCAGUGUUUAUGACCUCUCUGUAAAAAGGUGCACUGAGAGGGCUGGAAAAACUCCACAUCCAAGAGACCUCCGGGGAGCACUUCCAGCUCUCAGCGGGGGACUCAGGUGAACCUCCAGACCCACCUGGAGCCAAGAACAGGUAGCCUGGUGUAUAGACUCACACACAAACCAGUAGAAACGAGCUGCCAUAUACGAUCGACCUUUCUUAGUGUAGGUGCCAGCUGAUGGUAUUUGUCGACUUUGUGGUGUUUAGUUUGUUACAUGUCAGAUUCAGUUUGUAUUGGUCACAGAUGGGGAUGUGAGUCACAUGGUGGGCGGAGUCAGCAGGUCGUAGUCAUAUCAGCUGUUCUUCGCCUGGCGUUUUGUGAAUGAACUGAGGGGGUGAAGGGGGAUGUCCUACUUUUGCUGACCGUCACCUUUUCAUAUUGCUCGUACCACAAUUGAAGAUGUUGUUAAACGUUGUUUUUACACUGGGAAAUCGUUUUACUGUAAAUCUCCUAAUCGUAACACAUCUUUUGGAGUGAUUUUUUUCUUGAUAAGCCAGCGAGACCAGCAGGUUUUUCCCCUAUUUAGCCUCUCUGCGACUAUUUCUUUGCUCUUUUAGCAUCGUUGCUCAAUAAUUAGUCCCAGACAGGACAAAUUCACUGUGGAAACAUCUGCUGCUCAGCAUCAAUUAAACCAAAGAGCUGAUUGUUGAGUUUGGAAAAAAGGAAGCAAAGACACAAACAACACGAGUGGAGCUGAGACUGAAGCAGGAUGAAAUGAAAAGAAAAACCAAACAAUAUCUUCAGUUAUUUAUAUUAUUCAUAAACAUUUAGGCCUACCUGUACAUGGUACACACUAUAUAUAUUUAUAUAUGUAUACAUCCCCAAAGCAUGUAAAAUAUGCGCAUGACAUCAUCUGACCCAAAAGGUGUUUGAUUAUGCUAUUUGUAUAUUUUAUUGCUAAAUGGAAGCAUGACUCUCCCGUCCACUGACUUCAUGAAAAGGUUUUGAAUUGAUGUGCUCAGCCAUCAGAUUUGAGCCCAGCAGUGAGUGUGGAGCUGCAGGUAAACAGUAUUUUUACUGCAGGUUUUGGGUUUCAAGUAAUUAAGUUAACCGAGUAUUAAACAGCACUAAUUGUUUCAGCCAGGCUACAUAGUGCAUGAAACUGUGUUGUCAUUGAAACAAUAUAAAGUGGACAAAGUUAAAUAUUAGUGCAACUCAUACCAAGCAAAUUGACACGUGAUGUUUUCAGUUCAUUUAAUCUCAUUUCAUAUCAAAGCAGCUUCAGACGAUUCUCAGUUCAGACCACUAAACACUCCGAUUAUUCAAAGUUUCCAUCUGUUACAGUUAGGUUGGUGCAAAAUCACGACUCACAUGUUCAAAUACCUUGUAAGUUUAGACAAUAAAGCCGUUUACCGUUUAAAAUUGAGGUUCACAAUUAGCCAGAUUAAGUGUAAGUAAUGUUUUAAAUACUGUUGAAUAGUAGCUGCUUUUAUCUGCCAUCAUAAAGACACAAAGUUAAAGCCCACGGCUGAGAGGAUUUAAGGCCAGCAGUGCCCCCUCCUGAAGCCUCUCUCUUCUGAUGCUGCCUCGGGAGUUUUUCAGGACUUUGGGAUUGCACCUCCCUGAACUAUCAGGAUAUCAGUUUAUGUUGGAUUACUAUUGUUGUGUUGUCAUUUCAGUGUUAAUGUUGUGCACUUAG